UUUAUUUUUAGAUCUUUAAAGCAGCACCAAAGCCAGACAGUCUGAAGAGGACCAGGGGGGACGAGAACAACCACCAGACAAGUAAAAAAGCAAAGCUAUUGGAUGAUGACGAUGGACUGGAUGAUGGCCCGACAACAUCGGCUCCAAUGCGACCGCCUUCCUCUGUGAAAAUUGUAACGAAACAAACACCUUUGGAUUUACUAACAGAAGAAAUUAAACCACUUCUGGAGAGUGCAGAGAACGUUGCUAACAUUGUCCUUAUUAGUAUGGUAACACUGCCGGAUGUAAUGCCAGCCCAUUUUCAGGCAAGUUACACGCCAAUUGCUGCAGCCGGAACUGAGAGUCAGGUACAGCAUCUUGCCAGGAUGAUGGCAACACAAUUCAUUCCAGCUGGCAUCAAAGCAAAAAAGC